GAUGAACGCUGGCGGCGUGCCUAAUACAUGCAAGUCGAGCGAACAGACGAGGAGCUUGCUCCUCUGACGUUAGCGGCGGACGGGUGAGUAACACGUGGAUAACCUACCUAUAAGACUGGGAUAACUUAGGGAAACCGGAGCUAAUACCGGAUAAUAUAUUGAACCGCAUGGUUCAAUAGUGAAAGACGGUUUUGCUGUCACUUAUAGAUGGAUCCGCGCCGCAUUAGCUAGUUGGUAAGGUAACGGCUUACCAAGGCAACGAUGCGGAGCCGACCUGAGAGGGUGAUCGGCCACACUGGAACUGAGACACGGUCCAGACUCCUACGGGAGGCAGCAGUAGGGAAUCUUCCGCAAAGGGCGAAAGCCUGACGGAGCAACGCCGCGUGAGUGAUGAAGGUCUUCGGAUCGUAAAACUCUGUUAUUAGGGAAGAACAAAUGUGUAAGUAACUAUGCACGUCUUGACGGUACCUAAUCAGAAAGCCACGGCUAACUACGUG
rnacentral:rRNA from 1 species